rnacentral:tRNA from 2 species
GAGAGAGGUCUGCCGACACCAAAGACUGCUAAUCCUUGCUCCCUUGGUUGAAUUCCAAGGCUCACUCG